UACGGAAGGGGCAAGCGUUGUUCGGAAUCAUUGGGCGUAAAGGGCGCGUAGGCGGCCAUGCGUGUCUUCCGUGAAAUCCCUCGGCUCAACCCGGGAACUGCGCCCGAUACUGGCGGGCUUGAGUCCGGGAGAGGAUGGCGGAAUUCCCAGUGUAGAGGUGAAAUUCGUAGAUAUUGGGAAGAACACCGGUGGCGAAGGCGGCCAUCUGGACCGGCACUGACGCUGAGGCGCGAAAGCGUGGGGAGCAAACAGG
rnacentral:rRNA from 1 species